GACGAACCGAGCGAACGUUAUUCGGAAUCACUGGGCUUAAAGGGCGCGUAGGCGGGCGAUCAAGUCAGGGGUGAAAGCCCCCAGCUCAACUGGGGAAGUGCCUCUGAUACUGGUCGCCUCGAGGGAGGUAGGGGCGUGCGGAACUUCCGGUGGAGCGGUGAAAUGCGUAGAUAUCGGAAGGAACGUCGGUGGCGAAAGCGGCGCGCUGGACCUCUUCUGACGCUGAGGCGCGAAAGCCAGGGGAGCGGAAC
rnacentral:rRNA from 1 species